CAGCCGCCGCGGUAAUGCGUAGGUGGCAAGCGUUGUCCGGAAUUAUUGGGCGUAAAGGGCUCGCAGGCGGUUUCUUAAGUCUGAUGUGAAAGCCCCCGGCUCAACCCGGGAGGGUCAUUGGAAACUGGGAAACUUGAGUGCAGAAGAGGAGAGUGGAAUUCCACGUGUAGCGGUGAAAUGCGUAGAGAUGUGGAGGAACACCAGUGGCGAAGGCGACUCUCUGGUCUGUAACUGACGCUGAGGAGCGAAAGCGUGGGGAGCGAACAGGAUUAGAUACCCCUGUAGUCCCUGUCUCUUAUAC
rnacentral:rRNA from 1 species